GGGACGAAUCUUAUCUGUUCCCCGGAGGUGCCGUGCUUAAUCUCGAAUGGCCAGAAACUGAAGAAGCGCACAUUUAUUGGACAGCGCACAUUCUGCUGCUCAUGAAUCUAGAUAGAUCUGCCUGGAAGUGAUAUCCGUUCGGACGAAACCAGAUCGCGCGGGAAACCAGAACUGCCUCAUCCCUUCUGCGUACUUCAGUGACAUAUAUGGAACUGCAUCAGAGGGGCCAUGCACAUGUACCCUAGUUGUGGCAGCCUGUUGCUGAAAUAUUGGAGCCCACAACCUACAACAGCCAGCCCACAAGAGCACAG